UCGGGAAUCUUCCGCAAUGGACGCAAGUCUGACGGAGCAACGCCGCGUGAGUGAAGAAGGAUUUCGGUUCGUAAAACUCUGUUGUUAGAGAAGAACAGCGCAUAGAGUAACUGUUAUGCGUGUGACGGUAUCUAACCAGAAAGCCACGGCUAACUACGUGCCAGCAGCCGCGGUAAUACGUAGGUGGCAAGCGUUGUCCGGAUUUAUUGGGCGUAAAGCGAGCGCAGGCGGUCAAUUAAGUCUGAAGUUAAAGGCAGUGGCUCAACCAUUGUAGGCUUUGGAAACUGUUUAACUUGAAUGCGGAAGGGGAGAGUGGAAUUCCAUGUGUAGCGGUGAAAUGCGUAGAUAUAUGGAGGAACACCGGUGGCGAGAGCGGCUCUCUGGUCUGUAACUGACGCUGAGGCUCGAAAGCGUGGGGAGCAAACAGG
rnacentral:rRNA from 1 species